GACGAACGCUGGCGGCGUGCUUAACACAUGCAAGUCGAACGGAAAGGCCCUGCUUUUGUGGGGUGCUCGAGUGGCGAACGGGUGAGUAACACGUGAGUAACCUGCCCUUGACUUUGGGAUAACUUCAGGAAACUGGGGCUCAUACCGGAUAGGAGCUCCUGCUGCAUGGUGGGGGUUGGAAAGUUUCGGCGGUUGGGGAUGGACUCGCGGCUUAUCAGCUUGUUGGUGGGGUAGUGGCUUACCAAGGCUUUGACGGGUAGCCGGCCUGAGAGGGUGACCGGCCACAUUGGGACUGAGAGACGGACCAGACUCCUACGGGAGGCAGCAGGGGGGAAUAUUGCACAAUGAGCGGAAGCCUGAGGCAGCAACGCCGCGUGCGGGAUGACGGCCUUCGGGUGGUAAACCGCUUUCGCCGGUGACGAAGCGGGAGUGACGGUAAUGGGUAAGGAAGCAACGGCUAACUACGUG
rnacentral:rRNA from 1 species